rnacentral:rRNA from 1 species
CCUACGGGAGGCAGCAGUGAGGAAUAUUGGUCAAUGGACGAGAGUCUGAACCAGCCAAGUAGCGUGAAGGAUGACUGCCCUAUGGGUUGUAAACUUCUUUUAUAAAGGAAUAAAACGAGGAACGUGUGUCUUUUUGCAUGUACUUUAUGAAUAAGGAUCGGCUAACUACGUGCCAGCAGCCGCGGUAAUACGUAGGAUCUGAGCGUUAUCCGGAUUUAUGGGGUUUAAAGGGAGCGUAGAUGGGGUGUUAAGUCAGUUGUGAAAGUUUGCGGCUCAACCGUAAAAGUGCAAUUGAUACUGGCAGUCUUGAGUACAGUUGAGGUAGGCGGAAUUCGUGGUGUAGCGGUGAAAUGCUUAGAUAUCACGAAGAACCCCGAUUGCGAAGGCAGCUUACUAAACUGUGACUGACAUUGAUGCUCGAAAGUGUGGGUAUCAAACAGGAUUAGAUACCCUAGUAGUC